GGCCACCGCUCCUCCUGGCCCCGCGCCGCCGCACGCCUCCCUGCGCGCCCCGGUCCUCCCCGCGCCCCGCGCCCCCGCCGAACAACGGCCCGGGCCGAAUCGGGCGGGGUCAACGCCGGCGACGCCCAGAUUGGCGGCGAGACGUCGCCUCCGCUUCGACCGCGGUGCCAUGGAUGGGGAGUAAGGAGAAGGUUUUACCGUGUCCGCGGGAGCCGGCAGCGGUGGGGUCGGAUGCAGCACCGACGGUGAGCGGCAUGCCCGAGGGUGGGAGACCGCGUGCGAGCGCACGCGCUAGCGACGGCGGCAACGGCGGGGUGCGUGGACAGCCGGCGGCCCCUCCUCUUCCUGCCUUCCUACGCCAGAUCCGGCGGCUGGGAGAGCACGCAUGGUUGGCGCGCACAGCUGCUGCGGUGGUAUGACGUGCACCGGCAAGACCUCCCGUGGUGACGUGCCAGCGGCGGCGAGAUGUUGGAGGUGAUGCUGCAGCAGAUGCGGGUGCCCGUCGUGCGUCGUCGUCAGCUACUACGACCGGUGGAUGGCGCGGUGGCCCACCGUGCGGAGCCUCGCCGCCGCCACGUAGGAGGAGAUGAAUGAGAUGUGGGCGGGGCUCGGCUACUACCGGAGGGCUCGAUUUCUUCUGGAGGUGAGUUGUGCUCGUAAUGGAUUGAUGGGGAAGGGACUAGGGCGUAUCUAUCGUAAGGUUGGGGCUUGCUUGGCAACCAUAACUGCUGUGCGCAUUCCCUAUUGGAUGUUUUACCUCAGAGAGUCUGGAAGAUUAAUUCAGAGUUCCAUUUCCCUUUAAAUGAAGAAAAAGAAAUCUGAGUAGUAGUUCAUGAUUUGCUUUGCAUUUCAACUAAUUGUGAGAUGCCAUUAUGUUAAUUCAUUUGGUGAUCUGACAUUCUUGCGAAGUUUGCAUAAAUUGCGCUUGCCUUCCAGUUGAGCUCAUUGUAGAGGGCCAUGGGAUGAUUCUCUUUGCAUAAAUAAAUUGAUCAUCACUCUGAUGUAAAUGAGAAAAUGGAGGCAUCUCUUUACUGCUUUGCUUACUUAAUUCUGCCUGUCAUUUUCCCUUAAGGCUGCUAAUGACAUGGUCUUUGUCUCUGAUUUGCAUGGGGGAGAACUUGGAAAAAAUCUUACUAUCCAAUUACGUUUGGACCAUAGAGAAAUCUUUGCACGAAAAUGCUCCUCUAACCUAUCUGAAAUUUGUCCAGUCCACAUUCCGCAACGUAGUUUCAGAUGAGUUUCUUUUUCAAAAGAAGGGGUCCCAGUUGAAUUCCCAUUUGACAAACUGUUGGUUAUAUGCUGCCGUCUUUCUUCAGCAUCGCCAUUUGGCUUCACUUCUGUCAGUAGCAUGUCUAUAAGCUGAUCACACCAUUCUCUCGUUUCAACUAUGUAGAAGAACAUUCUUGUAUUAUCAGGCAAUUACGGCAACGAUUGUUGUUGUGCAUAGUUUUGAUUUGUUCGCAAAGACUUUGCUUCGGUUGCAUUAUUCUUUGUGCAAGCUAGGGGAUAAACUGCUCGUUGAUAAGAGUAGCAUUCCUGUCUAAUGGCACUGUGCUCAAAGGAGCAGCAUGGUAGCAGCGAAAGCUGCUUGUGU